rnacentral:rRNA from 1 species
UACGGAGGGUGCAAGCGUUAUCCGGAUUCACUGGGUUUAAAGGGUGCGUAGGCGGGCAGGUAAGUCAGUGGUGAAAUCCUAGAGCUUAACUCUAGAACUGCCAUUGAUACUAUCUGUCUUGAAUAUUGUGGAGGUAAGCGGAGUAUGUCAUGUAGCGGUGAAAUGCUUAGAUAUGACAUAGAACACCUAUUGCGAAGGCAGCUUACUACGCAUAUAUUGACGCUGAGGCACGAAAGCGUGGGGAUCAAACAGG